CAUAACAAUGAUGACUGUAGUAUCGCCCCUAUCUGACUUCUGAUGAUUGAUAGUUACUGAAUUAAA